UGAUAUACAAGAGACAAAAUAAUUUUUUCAAAACCAGUUUCCUUCCAUUUCUCAGUUUCUUCAAUCAUUUCUUCUAUCGAUUAGAUGGACAUCUCAUUACUACUUUUCUAUAUAAAGGAAUGAAGUUCAUUGCAAUACUCCAUGCACAACGAAAAAGCUUAUAGUAAUAUCUAUUUAGAUUUCUUAGUGUUAUCAUAUUCCGUUGUUUGUUUUAGCUCUUUCAUGAUGGUAGCCAAUCUCGACUUCAUCAAGGAUGUGAAUGAUUUUCAAGGGGACAAACCUUGGACCCUUAAGAUGAGACCUAUUUGCAAGUGGAAGUUGCCUUCAUUUACCAAAAAGCGGUUCGAACCAUCUAUGGAAUUGGUCUUUAUUGAUCAGCAGACUACAUGGGAUUGCUAACUGGGAAGACUGAGCUUCUUACUUACACUAAGAAUGAUCAGACUUCACAUUAUUUAACCAUUCAGCUGGAUGACCUUACUAGCGAUGGAAAAAUAUUGUGCACACUAUGGCAGAGCUAUGCUCGCCAAUUGCUUUAUCAUCUCGAGAAUCAUCUAGCAACUGAAUAUAUUGUUCUUCAAUUUGUAAAAAUGAAAAAAUUUAAUUGUUAAUUUCUAAAUUUUUCCAUUUUUUAUUUUUAUUUGUAUAUGAAUUUUAUUUGUUAGCGCCUUAAGUUUGUCCAUAUUCUUUCCAAUCCUAUAUAAUAAUAUGUUAUGGAUGUGUGUGGGAU